GCCUGAUAACGAAGCACCUGCUUUGAGGCGCCAGGUUUGGCGCUAGAUAGAAUGGUCAGUGAUUGCAUCUUUGUGAAGCUCUAGUUGGUAACUGGGCUAAUGCCCAAAUUCCCAGGUGUUUAUACCUGCAAGUGUGGGGACUCAGUUCCUGGGAUGAUGUAUGAGACCUUGCUGUUUGGUGAUCGACCGUGAGACCCUGGAUCAGCAUAGCCGUGGAAAUGAGCAGGGGUGCAUUAGUGAGUACACGCAUAAGUAACGUGUGUGUUCAUGCAGUUGUGAGUUACGAGUUCACUGAAUCACAGGCUGCUUACUGAGAUGAUCUGGUUGCUCAGGUCCGGGCUUGCCUGCCAAGGUAGGAAAGUAGAAGGGAAAGGCAUGGCCCCGCCCAGUAUAAAGCAGUUGUCUGGGCCUGCA
rnacentral:lncRNA from 1 species